rnacentral:rRNA from 1 species
UGCAAGUCGAACGAUGAACCACUUCGGUGGGGAUUAGUGGCGAACGGGUGAGUAACACGUGGGCAAUCUGCCCUUCACUCUGGGACAAGCCCUGGAAACGGGGUCUAAUACCGGAUAUCACUCCUGCAGGCAUCUGCGGGGGUCGAAAGCUCCGGCGGUGAAGGAUGAGCCCGCGGCCUAUCAGCUUGUUGGUGAGGUAAUGGCUCACCAAGGCGACGACGGGUAGCCGGCCUGAGAGGGCGACCGGCCACACUGGGACUGAGACACGGCCCAGACUCCUACGGGAGGCAGCAGUGGGGAAUAUUGCACAAUGGGCGAAAGCCUGAUGCAGCGACGCCGCGUGAGGGAUGACGGCCUUCGGGUUGUAAACCUCUUUCAGCAGGGAAGAAGCGAAAGUGACGGUACCUGCAGAAGAAGCGCCGGCUAACUACGUGCCAGCA